AACGCACCUUGCGCUCCUUGGUAUUCCGAGGAGCAUGCCUGUUUGAGUGUCAUUAAUAUAUCAACCUCUUCAGCUUUUUUUGCAUGUUGAGUGUUUGGAUGUGGGGGUAUUUUUGCUGGACUCUAGAAUCUGAGGUCAGCUCCCCUAAAAUGUAUUAGCGAAACAAUUUGUUUACCGCUCAUUGGUGUGAUAACUAUCUACGCUAUUGACGGUGAAAAGCACGUUUAGCUCCUAACAGUCCAUUAACUUGGACAACCUCUUAUUAAUGUGACCUCAAAUCAGGUAGGACUACCCGCUGAACUUAA
rnacentral:misc_RNA from 1 species